AUUGAACGCUGGCGGCAUGCCUUACACAUGCAAGUCGAACGGUAACGCGGGGCAACCUGGCGACGAGUGGCGAACGGGUGAGUAAUGCAUCGGAACGUGCCCAGUUGUGGGGGAUAACUGCUCGAAAGAGCAGCUAAUACCGCAUACGACCUGAGGGUGAAAGCGGGGGAUCGCAAGACCUCGCGCAAUUGGAGCGGCCGAUGUCGGAUUUAGCUAGUUGGUGGGGUAAAGGCCCACCAAGGCGACGAUCCGUAGCUGGUCUGAGAGGACGACCAGCCACACUGGGACUGAGACACGGCCCAGACUCCUACGGGAGGCAGCAGUGGGGAAUUGUGGACAAUGGACGCAAGUCUGGUCCAGCCAUGCCGCGUGCGGGAAGAAGGCCUUCGGGUUGUAAACCGCUUUUGUCAGGGAAGAAAUCUUCUGGGUUAAUACCUCGGGAGGAUGACGGUACCUGAAGAAUAAGCACCGGCUAACUACGUGCCAGCCGCCGCGGUAAAAC
rnacentral:rRNA from 1 species